rnacentral:tRNA from 1 species
GGAUUGUGGCUUAGCUGUAGAGCGCUCGCCUAGCAUGCGUGGGGGCCCUGGGUUCGAACCUCAGCACCA